rnacentral:rRNA from 1 species
UAGGGAAUCUUCCACAAUGGACGGAAAGUCUGAAUGGAGCAACGCCGCGUGAGUGAAGAAGGGUUUCGGCUCGUAAAACUCUGUUGUUAAAGAAGAACAUAUCUGAGAGUAACUGUUCAGGUAUUGACGGUAUUUAACCAGAAAGCCACGGCUAACUACGUGCCAG